AUUCAGACGACGAGUCCUAAAUAGGACGAAAUGCCGAUCCUGGAU
rnacentral:hammerhead_ribozyme from 1 species